rnacentral:rRNA from 1 species
CCUACGGGGGGCAGCAGUGGGGAAUAUUGCACAAUGGGGGAAACCCUGAUGCAGCGACGCCGCGUGAGUGAAGAAGUAAUUCGGUAUGUAAAGCUCUAUCAGCAGGGAAGAAAAUGACGGUACCUGAGUAAGAAGCCCCGGCUAACUACGUGCCAGCUGCCGCGGUAAUACGUAGGGGGCAAGCGUUAUCCGGAUUUACUGGGUGUAAAGGGAGCGUAGACGGGAGUACAAGUCUGGAGGGAAAGGCGGGGGCUCAACCCCCGGACUGCUAUGGAAACUGUACGGCUGGAGUGCAGGAGAGGUAAGUGGAAUUCCUAGUGUAGCGGUGAAAUGCGUAGAUAUUAGGAGGAACACCAGUGGCGAAGGCAGCUUACUGGACUGUAACUGACGUUGAGGCUCGAAAGCGUGGGGAGCAAACAGGAUUAGAUACCCUUGUAGUC